rnacentral:rRNA from 1 species
UACGAAGGGGGCUAGCGUUGUUCGGAAUUACUGGGCGUAAAGCGCACGUAGGCGGGCGAUUAAGUCAGGGGUGAAAUCCCGGAGCUCAACUCCGGAACUGCCUUUGAUACUGGUCGUCUAGAGAUCGGAAGAGGUGAGUGGAAUUCCCAGUGUAGAGGUGAAAUUCGUAGAUAUUGGGAAGAACACCAGUGGCGAAGGCGGCUCACUGGUCCGAUACUGACGCUGAGGUGCGAAAGCGUGGGUAGCAAACAGG